UUUCGGGGGUGGACUUCUGGAUCGCGUAGCAGCGUUUGCGUCGGUAUCUGGGCUUGUAGCUCAGUUGGUUAGAGCACACGCUUGAUAAGCGGGGGGUCGGAGGUUCAAGUCCUCCCAGGCCCACCAUGUUACAUGAUAAGGGGCCGUAGUUCAGCUGGGAGAGCACCUGCUUUGCAAGCAGGGGGUCGUCGGUUCGAUCCCGUCCGGCUCCACCAUCGUGUUUUGGUGUAGAGACGGAUAUUGGCAAUCAACGAAAGAAAGAAACAAGUUUGCGGACUUUUAUGAAAGUCUGCCUGUUCUGUAUGAAAUCGUGAAGAGAAGAUGUAAUCGGAUCAACUAUCCAGUUGAUGUCGCAAGAGCUUGCUCAAGCCUUGCAUUAUGAUUGAUGUGUUUAACCGCCAUCACCGAUUGUAUCUCGAGAAGCUGGUCUUUCUGCUGAUACUGUUGAAGCUUGAAUGAGUUUUGA
rnacentral:tRNA from 1 species